rnacentral:rRNA from 1 species
CAACAGGGAUUGCCCUAGUAACGGCGAGUGAAGCGGCAACAGCUCAAAUUUGAAAUCUGGCUUUCGGGCCCGAGUUGUAAUUUGUAGAGGAUACUUUUGAUGCGGUGCCUUCCGAGUUCCCUGGAACGGGACGCCAUAGAGGGUGAGAGCCCCGUCUGGUUGGAUGCCAAAUCUCUGUAAAGUUCCUUCGACGAGUCGAGUAGUUUGGGAAUGCUGCUCUAAAUGGGAGGUAUAUGUCUUCUAAAGCUAAAUAUUGGCCAGAGACCGAUAGCGCACAAGUAGAGUGAUCGAAAGAUGAAAAGCACUUUGAAAAGAGAGUUAAAAAGUACGUGAAAUUGUUGAAAGGGAAGCGUUUAUGACCAGACUUGGACUUGGUUAAUCAUCUGGGGUUCUCCCCAGUGCACUUUUCCAGUUCAGGCCAGCAUCAGUUUUCGCCGGGGGAUAAAGGCAGCGGGAAUGUGGCUCUCUUCGGGGAGUGUUAUAGCCCGUUGUGUAAUACCCUGGUGGGGACUGAGGUUCGCGCUUCUGCAAGGAUGCUGGCGUAAUGGUCAUCAACGACCCGUCUUGAAACACGGACCAAGGAGUCGUCUUCGUAUGCGAGUGUUCGGGUGUCAAACCCCUACGCGUAAUGAAAGUGAACGCAGGUGAGAGCUUCGGCGCAUCAUCGACCGAUCCUGAUGUUCUCGGAUGGAUUUGAGUAAGAGCAUACGGGGCCGGACCCGAAAGAAGGUGAACUAUGCCUGUAUAGGGUGAAGCCAGAGGAAACUCUGGUGGAGGCUCGCAGCGGUUCUGACGUGCAAAUCGAUCGUCAAAUAUGGGCAUGGGGGCGAAAGACU